AGCAGUCAUUGUAUCAUUUAUUACUCCAGCGUGUAAAUAUACGAUGCGUAACGGAGACACUUAUGCGUUCCUCAUUAGCAACCGCGAGUUGACAACAAACGCAUCAAGUUGAGAACACGCAUCCUCCUCGACACAAACUCUCUCAAGAUAUUAUUAAUCCACGAGCAAUGAGCAACGAGAUCAACGAGAUGACGAUGAGCUUGUAUGCGUGUUUGCAAUCGCACAACGGACGGAAUGACCACGCGGAAUAACUGUCCCGACAAUUUCAAGUACGAAGAGCGUGUGUCAGAUUGAGAACCGUUACAGUCGGAGUCAGCGAUCCGAGGUCUUUAUUGUAACCGCCGGAAGUAUCGGGCAGGGUCUGCAGUCUCGACGAGACUCGAGAUCCACCGAAUUUAUCGAUGACGUCUAAUGAGUAUCAUUAGAUACGUGCGAGUUACACGUCAUUGAAAUUCACGUGCACGCGCGUUCCGCGCGAUAAAUAUAUACGCGCACGAUGUUGCACAUGGCAAGGGACUCCGAGAUCGACGAGGAUCACGCUGGGCUGCCCCGUCACUCGAGAAAUACACGGGAAAUACGCUGGUGCACUCACGUGGCUUUUCGUUUGACGUACGGGUCCACGACCUCGAUCCUGCGCUUCGACAUAGCGUCCUUUCCCACUUGGAACGUAACGGAAAGUGACAGCAGAUGGAGCCAUCCGUAACGAUCAUUGGCGCGUCACGUUCGGAUUGCAAAUUCGUCUAAUCGCGUAAAGUAUAAUGUACAAGAAGAAUCGGCUAUGCUGUCUAAUUUUAGGUAUGUGAUUGGUUUGUAUCUUGUAUUUGUAAAAAUAAACGGGCUUACUUGAAGCAAUUUGUAUCAACUUAACGAGGGCCUUCAUUUAAUUCCAAGUGUGUAGUCAAAUAUAACUCCAACUAAUAUUUGAUCACAAAAAAUACUUAAUAUCGAAGA